GACGCCGGUCAAGGCCCGCGCUCCUUCCUCCCGCGGAGCCGUCUCCACAGCUCCGGAAGUGCUCAGCACGGUUGCGUCACUUCCGGCCCGGGGUCGACCCGCGGUCGCUGAGGUCGCGACUGGCGCUGGGUAUUAGCGUCCCUUGGCCGGCGCUUCGCUACAGCACAGCAUUCAGACCCCGAGUGUGAGCGGGGUAAGACCGGCUCAGACGGCCGAGGGAGGCAGCGGGGAGAGGGGUCGCCUUAUUGGAGAGUGGUCAAGGCAGCUCUUCCGGCUUUCACCAGCCGCCGCCCGCCAGGAUAUUCUUAACCAGCGUUUUUCUGAGGACUGCUCGCUUCACUGUUUGUAUUCCAGUGUAGCGCACAUAGAAGACAUAAUGACGUCUGUGGAGUGGAUAAAGGACUGUUGUUUCUCGGCCGCUAUCUGGUGGAAAGAGAACUGGGCCUUCGGGUCAGCGCGCCGGGACGGGAAUUUCUGCCUACACUCUCAGGCUGCCGCCUGGUGGCCCUCGAGCCGCAGAGACCAGGCUGGCUCGGCUUUCCCUUUGCUCUCCCGCCCAGUUCUCCACCUUCCCAUUCACCGUAGAAGGUUGAAUCAAAAUUGUGUUUUGCCACAUUGCCUGGCUGCACGGUUUCUGCAAACAGUGUAGGAAGAAAUAGAGAUUUAAGCAUUAAGUCAAAGCAUUUAAGGAUCUGCAUAAAAGUCUGUGCACAGAUAUAUGCUUUGGAAUGGUGAUUCUAAUAGGAAAUGUUUGCAGCAUCCAAAAUGUCCCAAAGUAAGAGUUUGUUAAAUUAUGGUAAGAUAUACAAUAAAGAGAACUAUUAAAUAUGA